AGGGUGAUCGGCCACACUGGAACUGAGACACGGUCCAGACUCCUACGGGAGGCAGCAGUAGGGAAUCUUCCGCAAUGGGCGAAAGCCUGACGGAGCAACGCCGCGUGAGUGAUGAAGGUCUUAGGAUCGUAAAACUCUGUUGUUAGGGAAGAACAAAUUUGUUAGUAACUGAACAAGUCUUGACGGUACCUAACCAGAAAGCCACGGCUAACUACGUGCCAGCAGCCGCGGUAAUACGUAGGUGGCAAGCGUUAUCCGGAAUUAUUGGGCGUAAAGCGCGCGUAGGCGGUUUCUUAAGUCUGAUGUGAAAGCCCACGGCUCAACCGUGGAGGGUCAUUGGAAACUGGGGAACUUGAGUGCAGAAGAGGAGAGUGGAAUUCCAUGUGUAGCGGUGAAAUGCGCAGAGAUAUGGAGGAACACCAGUGGCGAAGGCGGCUCUCUGGUCUGUAACUGACGCUGAUGUGCGAAAGCGUGGGGAUCAAACAGGAUUAGAUACCCUGGUAGUCCACGCCGUAAACGAUGAGUGCUAAGUGUUAGGGGGUUUCCGCCCCUUAGUGCUGCAGCUAACGCAU
rnacentral:rRNA from 1 species